rnacentral:SRP_RNA from 1 species
GCUGGGCAUGUUGGCUCAUGCCUGUAAUCCCAGCACCUUGGGAGGCUGAGGUGGGUGGAUCACCUGAGGUUAGGAGUUCAAGACCAGCCUGACCAACAUGGUGAAACCCUGUCUCUA